CCCGGGCCUUGUACACACCGCCCGUCAAGUCACGAAAGUUGGUAACACCCGAAGCCGGUGGCCUAACCACUUGUGGGAGGGAGCUGUCGAAGGUGGGACUGGCGAUUGGGACU
rnacentral:rRNA from 1 species